rnacentral:rRNA from 1 species
CCUACGGGAGGCAGCAGUGAGGAAUAUUGGUCAAUGGACGCGAGUCUGAACCAGCCAAGUAGCGUGAAGGAUGACUGCCCUAUGGUUUUUAAACUUCUUUUAUGUGGGAAUAAAACGUUCCACGUGUGGUGUUUUGUAUGUACCAUAUGAAUAAGGGUCGGCUAACUCCGUGCCAGCAGCCGCGGUAAUACGGAGGAUCCGAGCGUUGUCCUGAUUUAUUGGGUUUAAGGGGUGCGUAGCCGGAAUGCCAAUUCAGCGGUAAAAUCGCGGGGCUAAACCUCGCUCCGCCGUUGAAACUGGCGUGCUUGAGUGGGCGAGACGUAUGCGGAAUGCGUGGUGUAGCGGUGAAAUGCAUAGAUAUCACGCAGAACUACGAUUGCGAAGGCAGCAUACCGGCGCCCAACUGACGCUGAAGCACGAAAGCGUGGGUAUCGAACAGGAUUAGAUACCCCAGUAGUC